ACGCUGGCGGCAGGCCUAACACAUGCAAGUCGAGCGGAAACGAGUUAACUGAACCUUCGGGGAACGUUAACGGCGUCGAGCGGCGGACGGGUGAGUAAUGCCUAGGAAAUUGCCCUGAUGUGGGGGAUAACCAUUGGAAACGAUGGCUAAUACCGCAUAAUCUCUUCGGAGCAAAGAGGGGGACCUUCGGGCCUCUCGCGUCAGGAUAUGCCUAGGUGGGAUUAGCUAGUUGGUGAGGUAAUGGCUCACCAAGGCGACGAUCCCUAGCUGGUCUGAGAGGAUGAUCAGCCACACUGGAACUGAGACACGGUCCAGACUCCUACGGGAGGCAGCAGUGGGGAAUAUUGCACAAUGGGCGCAAGCCUGAUGCAGCCAUGCCGCGUGUAUGAAGAAGGCCUUCGGGUUGUAAAGUACUUUCAGCAGUGAGGAAGGGGUGUMCGUUAAUAGCGUGCAUCUUUGACGUUAGCUGCAGAAGAAGCACCGGCUAACUCCGUGCCAGCAGCCGCGGUAAUACGGAGGGUGCGAGCGUUAAUCGGAAUUACUGGGCGUAAAGCGCAUGCAGGUGGUUUGUUAAGUCAGAUGUGAAAGCCCGGGGCUCAACCUCGGAAUUGCAUUUGAAACUGGCAGACUAGAGUACUGUAGAGGGGGGUAGAAUUUCAGGUGUAGCGGUGAAAUGCGUAGAGAUCUGAAGGAAUACCGGUGGCGAAGGCGGCCCCCUGGACA
rnacentral:rRNA from 1 species